GUAGGCGCCAUCUUGCCAUGGCGAAUGCCUCUCAAGAUUCACGGCUCCCCACAAACUAACCUGGAUCCCUAGGAGCUCUCAGAGUCUGAGCCACCAACCAAUGAAUAUACAUGGGCUGAACCAAGGCCACAGGCAGAUCAGGAUGUAAGCUGUUAGCUACUGCUUCAGCACCAAGUCUGCCUGCCUCCUGCCAUACCACAUGCUAUGAUGGUCGUGGACUCAGCCAUGCUAUGAUGGUCGUGGACUCAGCCUUGCUAUGAUGGUCGUGGACUCAGCCUUUGAGCUGGAUGCUGCAAUUUAUUUUCUCAGAAGAAAAUUGCCUUGGUCAUGGUGUCUAAUCACAAGAAUAAAAAUGUAACAAA